AACGAAAAGAAAAACCCAACGGGGGAGUAGUACAUCUUUUUCUCUCCGUUUCUUUCUCUUCUUCCACUUCUUUCUUUUGUUUCUUUUCUUCUUCUUCU
rnacentral:ribozyme from 13 species